UUAUGGUGGGCGACUCUAAGGAGACUGCCGGUGACAAACCGGAGGAAGUGGGGAUGACGUCAAGUCAUCAUGGCCCUUACGGCCUGGGCUACACACGUGCUACAAUGGUCGGUACAAAGGGUUGCCAAGCCGCGAGGUGGAGCUAAUCCCAUAAAACCGAUCGUAGUCCGGAUCGCAGUCUGCAACUCGACUGCGUGAAGUCGGAAUCGCUAGUAAUCGUGAAUCAGAAUGUCACGGUGAAUACGUUCCCGGGCCUU
rnacentral:rRNA from 1 species